GGGAGGCAGCAGUGGGGAAUUUUGCGCAAUGGGGGAAACCCUGACGCAGCAACGCCGCGUGGGUGAUGAAGGCCUUCGGGUCGUAAAGCUCUGUCUGGAGGGAAGAAAUGAUUGGGAGCUAAUACCUCUUGAUCUUGACGGUACCUCUGAAGGAAGCACCGGCUAACUCCGUGCCAGCAGCCGCGGUAAUA
rnacentral:rRNA from 1 species